rnacentral:sRNA from 2 species
UACAUACACAGGGCUUCCAAGGCUUCCAGGGCUAGGAAACAGAACGAAAUGCCACCCACAUCCCGAUUCCCGAGCCCAAAGCCGAACCAAGCCGAGCCGAGUGGGGAGGGAUGCUGCUCAACCCUCAACCUGUGCUUUGGAAAUAGUAGUAACUCGUAGUUAGUUGUAUUUUCUUUUCAUUUUUUUUUUUCCAAAUGUAGUGUGAUGAGGGAAACUUUAUUCAGUUGGGAGAGAGAAAGAGAGUUGCUCCGGAGAAUGUCAAUAAAUCAAAUCUUAAACUUUCUCUCAACUUUAAAAAAAAGCCG